rnacentral:rRNA from 1 species
GGGUUGUGAGGUUAAGUGACUAAGCGUACACGGUGGAUGCCUAGGCAGUCAGAGGCGAUGAAGGGCGUGCUAAUCUGCGAAAAGCGUCGGUAAGGUGAUAUGAACCGUUACAACCGGCGAUACCCGAAUGGGGAAACCCAGU